GGUUAAGCGACUAAGCGUACACGGUGGAUGCCCUGGCAGUCAGAGGCGAUGAAGGGCGUGCUAAUCUGCGAUAAGCGCCGGUAAGGUGAUAUGAACCGUUAUAACCGGCGAUACCCGAAUGGGGAAACCCAGUGUGAUUCGUCACACUAUCAUUAACUGAAUCCAUAGGUUAAUGAGGCGAACCGGGGGAACUGAAACAUCUAAGUACCCCGAGGAAAAGAAAUCAACCGAGAUUCCCCCAGUAGCGGCGAGCGAACGGGGAGGAGCCCAGAGCCUGAAUCAGCAUGUGUGUUAGUGGAAGCGUCUGGAAAGGCGCGCGAUACAGGGUGACAGCCCCGUACACAAAAGCGCAUGUGCUGUGAGCUCGAUGAGUAGGGCGGGACACGUGGUAUCCUGUCUGAAUAUGGGGGGACCAUCCUCCAAGGCUAAAUACUCCUGACUGACCGAUAGUGAACCAGUACCGUGAGGGAAAGGCGAAAAGAACCCCGGCGAGGGGAGUGAAAAAGAACCUGAAACCGUGUACGUACAAGCAGUGGGAGCCCCACCACUAAGCCAGUGGUGAACUCCACAUCCGCAUCCUUUGCUGAGGAUACGGUUAACGGAGCGAAAGCGACGUUCAACCGCAAAACAAGCAGAGGGGGCUUAGUGGUGGGGUGACUGCGUACCUUUUGUAUAAUGGGUCAGCGACUUAUAUUCUGUAGCAAGGUUAACCGAAUAGGGGAGCCGGAGGGAAACCGAGUCUUAAUUGGGCGUUAAGUUGCAGGGUAUAGACCCGAAACCCGGUGAUCUAGCCAUGGGCAGGUUGAAGGUUGGGUAACACUAACUGGAGGACCGAACCGACUAAUGUUGAAAAAUUAGCGGAUGACCUGUGGCUGGGGGUGAAAGGCCAAUCAAACCGGGAGAUAGCUGGUUCUCCCCGAAAGCUAUUUAGGUAGCGCCUCGUGAAUUCAUCUCCGGGGGUAGAGCACUGUUUCGGCUAGGGGGCCAUCCCGGCUUACCAACCCGAUGCAAACUGCGAAUACCGGAGAAUGUUAUCACGGGAGACACACGGCGGGUGCUAACGUCCGUCGUGAAGAGGGAAACAACCCAGACCGCCAGCUAAGGUCCCAAAGUCAUGGUUAAGUGGGAAACGAUGUGGGAAGGCCCAGACAGCCAGGAUGUUGGCUUAGAAGCAGCCAUCAUUUAAAGAAAGCGUAAUAGCUCACUGGUCGAGUCGGCCUGC
rnacentral:rRNA from 1 species